CUCGGAGUCAGCAAGAAAAAAAUUGUAUUUUUUCUCCUCAUUUCAUCUAGUUUGUAAGACUGUAAAAAACAAGAGCUAUUUCUUAGCGGAAAGCAGGCAACAAAAUUAAGAACCUUCACCGCAGUCGGAAAGCCACCAGAUCACAUCACUAUCAUAUCCACCUAACUUUUGCUCUAGUAAGGUGUGAUGCCAAUCCAGGAUUACUUCUUAACUGCAUGGCCAAGAGAGCUCGGUGUCUGAACCAUCACUGAUGGCAAGUUUGUGUGCAGCCCUGAAAGAGAGAAAAGCCUGCUGCAGCGCAGCACAGCACCCGGACUGAGCGAGCAGCAGUUCCUCCAGCGAGACAGGGGCAGGGUCUGCUCACCAUCAGCAUCAGCGUCCAUGACAGCCCCAGCACCGAGAGGCAUGGACUUUAAUAUUUUAGAGCGGGCUAUAAAGGCAAGUUGCUCCUGCAGAUAGAUAAUCACUUCAGGCAAUGCCAAAGGUUCAUAAAAGAUUGGGGUGGCAAUAAUAAUUUUAAAGGAAAUAUCUGACUUAAAAAAAAAAUCAUUUUAAGUGGAAGCAUAUAAUCAUUCUCUUAGCCUGAUUUGCAAUAACCAAAUUGAUGCCAUCUAGGUCACUGCUGAGCAUUAAAAAAAGGAAUUCAGACUUAGACAGAAGUGCUGACCAUAACUCCAUUACUGAAUUCCAUAUUAUAAUUAAAAUCCUGCUCCAUUUUUUGUUCUCUAUGAAAUUAAUAUUUUUACAAAACUGGUAUCUCGGUACUUGACAACAAACGCAUUUGAAAUUAUCUUCACAAACAGAUGCAUUAUUUUUUUUUUUGUUAGAAAUUAACUGACAUUUAUUCCUUAUGAGAUUUCUCCUACUGACCUUCGACACGAGCUGGUGCAGACAGGUCGAGCAGACCACGGGGCUGAAAUGACCUGAAAUCUGCUGCACGUUUGGGUUACGGUGAGCAUCCCCGGCUGCCUCGCACCGUCGUUACGCCUCAGGUCAGCAGCUCGGGGUCCUGACGCGGGGGCUGCAGGGCCCAUCGCCCUCUCUUGUGCUCGGCUUUAUUGCCUCUAAUUAGUCCAGAGCAGGAGACAAACUGAACUUGGCACGGCAACAAUUCCUAGCAGCAGCCUUGGCUCCAUGGCUGCAACUUGUGUGGGCACCAGCACCUGCGAAGCUCCCCACGCUGCCUCGGUCCUGCGAGCACGGGAGCUGUGUUACUGGGGGAACUGGAAGGGACACAGCUGGUCAAAGUGUUUUGAGCUGUGCCAGGCUCGGCGACACCGUCCUCUAAACUGGUCAAACUGGGCAGCAGGCUGACCGGUAGGCUCUGGCAGCCAGCAGCGGAGGGCAGCUGUAAAACCCUUACCUUCAGAGUUUUCCAAUCGCAUUUUAAAGUGGUUCUGUGCAUCACCAAACACAGCUGAGCGAGCUCUGUCUUGAGAACGUAUAUAAAAAGAUAACGUACGGUUCCAGAGAAAAACAAUCACUAGAUUAAAUAAAUAAAUACCCUUCUUUGAAGUGAUUUUAAUCUAAUCUGGCUGCAGGAUAUAAUCCUAACAGCACACGGACUGCAGUAUGCUCUAGGAAAUAGUUAGCAGGUUUAGACACAUGAAUAGAUUUUUUUUCUCCUAAGAUGCAUUAAUAAUGAAAACUUUUAAAGCUUAACAAGGAUUUACCGUGCUUGGGAUUUCGGAGUAACUCUAACGUCGCCACAACGACUGUUACAGCCAGCCUUACCUUCGUGUUUUGGUCCAGGCAGCGCAGCGCAUCCUGCGGAGGGCAAGCCAGGCUUCAGGGCACGACAGGGAAACUCACCUCUACCCACUGCCAGGGAUACCACGCUGCAUAGCCAAGGGUCAGCUUCAGUAAAACUUACCAAAAUACUGCCUUUCUGGACUGAAUACAUUGCAAAAAAAUAUAUACAUAAUUUUCUGGCUGGUAUUCAAAGUGUACCAUUGCCUCAGCCAGACCCUACGCCAGGGGGAACUUUUACAAGGUGGAGUAAAACCUAGGUGUAAAGCGACUCAGCACCAGUAGGAAAUUUCUAAUACUCCAACGCAGUUUUAUCAUUACAUAAACAGACCCCACACACGGAGUUAUUGCCAGGAUUUUACAUACGAGUGCCUGAAGCUCUCGAGAGGCCUUCCAGGGUAAGCACACAAAGGAAACACUCCCCGUAAGCCACCCCCGGGCAGUGAAAUAUGGGAAACCGAGCUGCUUUAGACGAAAGCAAGCUGGUGAAAUCUAAAGUUAGGCUCAUGAAAGUAAACACGCGUGUUUGAAAUUCCAAGAUUAACUGCGGGCUCGGGGCGGGAGGAAGCAGGAGCAUCUACCCGCACAAAAGAAAAGCUCCAAACUAUUCCAAGUUUCCAGCACCCCGGGGUCCCGUAAGCUGUUAGUUAAGCACUCGUGGCUGACCGAGACGCUUCACUUCUCCUCGUUGUUCACAAGGUGGCCGCGUGAAAUUCCCUGGCUAUCGGCAGGAUUUACGGAGAACCCCGAACACGGGCUGCAAGGUCCGAAUUCACCAUAUAUAUAUGCAUAUAUAUAUAUAUAAAUGCUGCAAAUGAAACCAAAAACGAAGGCGGGUUGUGAAGUUUCUUGGGUCCCAACGUUUGCAGGCGCUUGCCAGGGAAGAUAAUUGAAUCGGGGCCAAUCUUCCUGCUCCAAGGGAACCUCGGCGUCUCAUUUACCCCCAGCAGGCUGCUCGGGACCGAAUGAGACUCAGCCCUUUUCCUUCUCCUGAAGUAACCUAAAUAUAAAGGGGGUUAAAAAUUUGUUCCCAUUAACUGCACAUGGUGAAGCCCCUGCCAACCUCGGUGCUCAGGAUGGUUUCUUGCAGCCUGCCGGGUCUCGCUCGGCGGCCCCGGUGGUCCUGUGGCUCCCUGCCUCUCUCCAGCCCUGCACGGCCCUCUCUGCCCGGCCACUUACCGCACCCUCCGCUCGCUCGGGGCUGCUGAAAAGCCAGAGGGAGAUCUUACCUUUUCCUGGAGAGAAAUUAACAACCGAGCACCGUGCUGGCGGCCAGCUGGUAGCUCAUCCCCUUAACGUUUUCUAAAUGGAAAAGUGCGAAAUAAGGUGCGGAGAGGCUGUCUUUUGAAACGGCGCUAAAUCACGACAGCAUCAGGAGUGUUUUGGGGUAAAUAAACAGGAGGACUGAACAAUAGGAAGGCACCUUUUAUGACAAGUGGAGUGCUCCGUCAGCGUCUGCCUGUAUGGGACCUCUUGGCUUCACGCGCUCGGGUGGACCUUUUGCAGAGCCCUGCAACAGUUUCCAUCAAAAUCAAUUCCUGCUCCUCGCGGUUUAAUUACCUAUGAUUUCGCUUGUAAACUGUUUCACCUUUCAGGCUGACCUCCAUUUACAACGUUACUCAGGCGACAAAAUUAAACAGUUUGGAGUGGGAAGCAGGGAGAAUUUAAAUGUACGGGGCGUGCUUUGGGAAAGGGCAGGCACCUGCUGCAGCACAGCUCCGCUCCCUCCCCGAGCCAGGAGGGCAACGCUCGGCGCGGAAGAAAAAGCAGAAGCUUUUGGGUAAGAGCACUUAAAUGGGACGCUGCUCGUAUCGCACUCCUCGUGCCACGCGUGACAUCAGUUCCAUCAAAUCCCCUCCUCGGCUGAAGCAGCAGCGAGCUCAAGGUUAUGCUCUUGGAAUUUAAAAAGCUGUUUUUAGGUCGGUCCCAAGAGAUUAUUUUAAAACACGGUACGAGGCAUCUGCUGGAGAGUAGAAGAGUUGGCUUUAAUUGUACGAGGGGUUUUUACAUAGCUUCUGACCUUUCAUCUAAUUGAGGCCUAAAGAAGAAAAAAAAAGAGGAAAAGCUACACGUCACUUCGGUUAUUAAAAUCCAUCAGGCUCAGACUUUAGCCCUGGGAUAACCGCAGCCAAAAAAUUGACUCGCAAGUAAUUAUCACUGCUAUCUGCAAUAAAAGUUAAUUGGACAUAAUUGAACUAAAGCCCUAAUCUGAAUGAAGCUGUUGCUGGCAAGAAGCCUGCUCCUGCCUGCACUUUGCAAAUGAAACUGCUAAGCAGGGAAAUGGACAAACACGGGGCUGCUCCCACAGCCUGCAAAGCGCCGGGCGAGUCUGCAAGCAGCUCGUUAGCUGCGCCAGGCUAAAGCCAUUAGCGGGGCCUGUCCUCACCAGAAGUGCCUUCUGAUGAUACCCAAGUGCGACAGAGGUAGAGAGCUUCCAAAGCAAGUUUCAGUUUUACGGACCUCAAAAUGAUAUCGACCGAAACCUCGUAUUUGUCAAAAAAUGCUAGUUUGGUGCAUCCCCCGACGCUGUAAAUAUCGGUACAAAUAACGCACUUUUGGAGUGUGCGGAGAUGCUAACACCAAAAGGUUUCCAGUGUCGAUAAUUCACCGCCUUCGUGCAGUUCGAGAGCCCUUCCUGAGCUAGGACGAGCUGCUCUCAUCUCCUCUGGGCAGCAGACAAUUAGCUGCACAGUGCAGGUGGCCGGGGGCAGGGGGUGUUGAACGAAAUUCUCGCUGAUUUGCCCAUUCUGGUUUGCGUUUUUGUUAACUAACAGACCAGAAAACGGCAGCCGUCUCCCGUACUGCUUUAGAACUUCCUUCCAAUUUUAAUUAUUAACACCCUGCCCUUCACCAAAGCGUAUCAAAGCACUUUACAAACAUUACCGAACCCGCAUAACCACUCCGAGACGGGCAAAAAUUGCACACGACUCAUUUUACAGAGGCUUAAGGGGUUUUUUGACCAGAUUUAUAUUACAAGACGGGUCUCAUGAUUAUGGAGCUAGCCUAUGAUAGGAGAGACUGAGGGAUGUAGCUGGCUCACCACGGAUCCCUGACGUAAUUUUGGAUGAAGCAUUUAAUCACCCCAUGCCACGGUUGCUCCUUUUUAAAAGGAUAGUAGCGGGCGACAGUUUUCCACCACGGGAGAAUACUGGGAAGACAAAUUAAACUGCAGAGCAUCCAAUACCCCCUUGACGUAUCGCUUACAAGGUCAAAAUCCGGGAAGGAACUGGAAUCAGACCACACUUCGUACUCCUCAACUCCAUUUACUCACCGCUGCUCCUCUUCAUUUUCAUUUGUCAGGACAGAGGAGAAUUUUAGCUCAAGAAAGCUGGAACAGAGAACUAGUGAUAUAAAUUCCCUUUCAUGACCUAAAUCUGUGGCUUAUUUUACUUUACUCAAAGCCUAUCACCUCUUUUUAAGCCUAUUUUUAGAUUUAACUCCACAUUUUGCAAUGUGGCAGGAGCUGAUAGACAACACAGCCCUAAGUAGGUCUUGCCAGGUGUUGCAGGUCUCUUCUAAGGCUAAGGGAAGAUGUAAAAAAGACAAGUCAGAACGUUUGCAGGGCCUGGCCACAGCUUCAAAGGAGGAUUUCUGGCUGUGCUUGAAACACAGAUGCUAGCGGUCAGCUAUGAGACAGAUGAGAUACUGCCCUCGCCAUGGGAACUCGAGCAAGAAGUAGGAAAAUCAGCCCAUAUUCAAAAGGGAUUUGAAUAACUUUGGAUCUGCCUCCUCUGAAUUUUUCACUAGACUAAAGCACUCUGACCUUUAAUUAAUUUUCCUUCUCCUUUUAAAUGGUAACUUCCAGCUCCGAGGCUUUUAACGCUGUGUUGGCGGGCGACGGGGGUGCGGGAGCAGUCUGGGGUGUACCCGAGCUAUGUUGAGCAGCGCAUAAAUCUGCACGGUCAUUUAGGAGAGGGAGCACAGGGUGCUGCAACAGCUGAACUGCAGCAGUUAACAUCAGGGGCCAGGUAAAUACAGCCUUGUCGUCAACGUCAGGAGUUGCCCAGGAUAUUAGGCUUCGAUUCUUAUUUUCAGAAGACAAAAAGCUUAACUUUCACCGAAAAUAGCCCUUUUUUCAACGAGGUACUAAGAGGAGCAAAGAAACAUUCCUUCCUCAAAAGCAUCCAUUACCUUCGGGGCAAACUAAAGCCACGUUCCUCCUACGUGCUUGAGCACCAUCUCUACUGUAACAGGGAGAACAGACGCAGGAAUCCUACACGCCGGUAUUUAGGGGUAUUUAGGUUAGCCCCGAUGACGUGCACACGAAGCAUACCCCGAACAGCCAGCCUCCAGGAUGCUGCUCACGCACAGCCCAGCGGAGGCACGUUUCACCAACAGACGUUCUCCUUUCUUGUGCACGACUUCCUUCUGCCUUCAAGCGAUAAGAAACCCAGCUACAGGCUGACCCUCUUCCCAGAGCAGAGGGCUCGCCGUUAUAACCUCAGCAGCAGCACGCGUGUGCCCUGUGCCUGUUACGUGCCCCUUCCCCACACGUUAAGGUGGCCGGGAGAAGCAGGAGGUUGUAAUUUUGGGGUUUAUUUGACCACGAAGGACAUGCACGAGCUGUGUGCUUCCUUGUGCAUGCUCAGGCAGCAUCCAGAGCGCCUCCCUCGCAAUUUCUCCUGCACCAGCGCUGGACCACAUGCCUUAGCCUAGCUGAAAAGGAAGCUUUGCUUAAGCACAGCAGACAGCCACCGAAGGGGAAAGGAAACGUGAAAUACUUCCCUCUCCAAGUGGCUGCCUUGCACAGUUCACCAUUAUCUUUAGCUUCUCUCAUUCCACACUUUAUCCUGUAACAGCCCAGAAUUAAAGUCUUAACGGGGACUUACAGAAGUACUUAUGGCUGCACAGGACAGAAGAACGACAGUUUGUCCUUUAAAAAUAUCAUCAGAAGUUAGAGAUUCUGACAGUUCCCCGAGCAGGAAAGUAGCUCUCCUCCUCCGUUUCGUACAAGCUGAUUAUUUAAUAUUUUUUCAGAGCUAUCUUUGAACAAAUUUCACCUAUACGCAACACACAAAGAGCAAGCCAGAUGUGUUAGAUAUUGAAAACUCCGUUUCGAGUCCCGUUUUAAAAAUAGACUCACUUGAAAACGAGAAAAUAUUUGCAAAUAAGAUGAGGCAGAAUGAGUCGCACUUCAUGCAAAACCCAAAACGGAACUCGAGCUAAGAACAAAAAAAGUGACUCACUCGCUGAGCAGGUGUCGGGGUGCGGGGUGGACACGGCGGCCAGUCGCACGUGGGCUCCGGGUUCCGCUUUGCGCUGGCCAUGCACGUGUGCCUUUCUGCCCUGUGCACUCGCACUGCGAGCCGCUCGGCUUAGGGCUUAGCUGUUUGGCUACCGAGCUAAGGUCCCACCUAUGGUGCAAUAGCAGCAACCCGUUGACAAAGCAGAGGCGUGUACAGACGAUUUUUGAGAUAGAGGAUUGGAGAUGUGCAUCUAACCCGUCACGGUGCCGGGGCUUCCUGCCGGACCCCGGCCGAAUCAGCUCGUAGAUAGAUCCACGACCGUUUGCAAGCGCGAGAUAAGACCUUCUUCUUUAGCUGGAGAUGUCGUGCAGCCCUGCUGUGAAGACGACAAGCGUUCCAAGAACUCGAACAGAAGCCGCCACACAAGCACACAGCACUCACCAGCAGCCAACACAAGCCGCCAGAGGCACACGGAGGGGAUGGACAGAUGCUGCCGUGUUUUCCUACCGACUUCCAGACAAGGUACCGGUGCCCUGAUGGCUCAUACUGACACAGACCUGCCGUCCUUACCGACCUGCCACCAAACUCGAAGGCCAUCUCCUAACUCAACGGAAAAAAGGACAAGAAAUGCGUUCUUUGUGAGGCACCGUACAACAGCCCGUGCUCUGCUCGGUGCCUUUCCAAGAAGGAUGAAAAGUGGCCAGCGGCACUGCUGACAGUUCAAAACAGCCACGGGGAAAGCAACAUGAGCGUGCAAGGCACUUUCAAAGGCUCCGCCCUGCACAAAAACCAGAGAUUUUUGUCUGCAGGCCCCACAGAACAGCUCCUACUUCUUUGAGCAGCCACGAACACAUCACCGUGAACAAAAGCUUACGCUCAAAGGGAUUUCUUUUCCCACAGCAAAGUUUACUGACUCCAGGUGAGCAGGAGCCUUCUGUUUGCUUGUGUGUCCUUCCCCCUUUGCACUUGCCUUUUUACAUAUAUAAAAAAAGAAAGAGAUGGUGAUAAAGAAAGUGCACGGACAGGCCACAGAUGCAGCUGUAACCGCGACAUCCUUUGGCAGGGCAAUCUCUCUUCCCUACCAUGGAGUAACCAAGCUAGCUGCGGUCAAUGAAUUCUAAAAGGUAAAUUUUUCUACCUUCAAUUAACUGCAUUAGUACUGUUUAUAACUGUGUGAUUGAUAAACGCUCUGCAGAAGCUGUAAUUAAUGUAUUUUUCGUCUUGGAACACAUAGCGAACCCCUUGGCACCCAGACACUAAAUGAAAAGCAAUUUAUCAACCUGCUUUGAAUAGCUCAAUCCGACUCCUUAAUGCAAAGAGAAGCACGCUUUGCUUAAGGCGCUACAGCCCUGUAAAAGCAACGCGUGCCGCAGAAUCACAAAUGCCAUCAGACACAGUUUGGGUUUCGAUAGGGAUGACGCCGACCAGGACGCUCAUCGUGCUGAGGAACGGGGUACGUCAGUAGGACCUGGGGCUUAGCCAGGAUCCUCACCCUGGGUACAGCCUAGCAGCAGGUUGGCAGAUGUGGUUUUCCAGGACUGAGGUUAGGAGGGUGUUUUUAGGACGCCGGACGAAGCUCUGGAUUCUCCUCACGGCCAAGCAGCGCUGACCCGCACGGGGACGCGGCAUCUCGGUGUUAUUUCAGUCCAAACGUGAUCGGCUGCUCACACAGCAGACAAAAAUAAAGUGCUUACGGAGCGUUUGAAUGCUAAUUUCUCAAAUUCGGUGUUGCUUUGUACGUUUGACAUACGCAAAAAAUAAAAACAACUCCAACAAGAACAAAAAAACAGCGUUUAUAGAGGGAAAGGCUUGACAUCACAGCAUUUUAUGUCGGUAUUAGCUGCUGGGGGGAUUAACCAGCCUUCAAAGCCUGAAAUCUAAACUCACAUUUCUGGAAGCACGGGCUCCACAUAUUCAGUAGAGAAGUCGGUCUGUCCUCCAUAUGGCAGCCUGAAUGUAAGGAUUACAUAUUUCCAUUGCACAUGUGAGUCUGCUCCCCGUUCCUGCAGUGUCUUGCCCUCUUCCAUUUGUCUUUUGAUUCAGAUAAAAGCCAGCGCAGAUCCUAACUGCUGAUACAGAGAAAGGCACAAGACACAGUGUGACUUUGGAUGAAGGAAGGAAAAAAAAAGGACUCAGGUCCAGACUGCUAGAGCAUGUCAAGAGAUUGUCUUUGAAACUACAGAACCAGAAAUGAAAGCGCUGCUUUUUUAUUUGAUUUGAUCAAAGCAACUGGGGAUGGGGAGGGGGGUGGAAAGAAAUCACAUCCUACAGAUGCAGGCUAAAUUUUAACUACUUCACACAUAAUGCGGGACCAGCUGAUCCCAUACAGGCAUAAAUAAAGAGAGAAAACAAAGAGGUAAAGUCACCCUAGCUCUGAAUGCGCUCUUUCCACAGAUCGCUGCUUCAGGGUCUGCCAAAGAGCAACAGGAACCCAUUUCAAAGCAAGAAAGGCACAGGAAGCAUGUACCCAGCACUCUCGCCAGGGGCACACACUUUAAGUCUCCAGUGAAGAGCAGAGGAGCAAGCUCCUGACAAAUCAGAAAAAAUGCUCACAAUGCAAUGGCUAUUUGGAUAAAUACCCUGCUCCUCCCUCCGCGACUCUGCUCCCCAGAUCCGACUGCGAGGUAGCAGCGGUGUGAGACAACCCUCCGGAGGCAGGCUUUGUGCUGCUCGCUGAGAAUUACCAGGAGGUAAUUCCUUCUCCUCGCCCAGAGCAUCCGCUCUGAUCCACGCUGGGCACAGGAGAACCAGGCUUCGUGGAGUGCGAAUCAGAGCACAGGUUCCUGCAGGCCCCAAACGGCAGCGGAGGAGAACCAGACAGCCACAGCUGCCACCCUCCCUGAUAGGAAGGGUUAUGAAUACCUGCCGGGUCGGCUGUGUGCUUGUGGAAAUUACCGGCUGCAGAAGGUGAGCCGUUUCCUCUGGGCUAGCAUGAUCAAGCUCUUUGCCUUUCGCUAAAAAUGAAGCAGAAGUCAUUUUAACACGUGAGGCAGACAACAGUCGCGCGCAGGGGAUCAAAUAGCUCUCCAGAUGUUUGUUUUAAAUGAAAUUCAGAAGCCAGCAUAAACCAGAUUUUAAACACUGAAUAAUCCGCACCAUAAUUUGCAUGAGAAAACUAGGAAAAAAGGGAAAAAGGUUCCGUCCUACCGCUCUGAAACUCUCCAGGAACAUGCAGGGUCAGAAAGGACGUCCUGAUGAGAAGGGCAGGAAUCAGUGACCACAAAACUGAGAAGCAGAUCUGUUCCUAGGCUCUCCAGCUGACACCUCCAAGUAUGAACAGCCCCACACUGAAAACUGAUGGCAUUUCCCCCUCCUGAUGGAUGCUCCACGCACACAUCCUAGGGCAUCUCACGUGAAGAAAGUCUUUGACCUUCCUCACCAAGACUAUUCACAAUCACGGGCUGAAAAGCGUCUAAAAAUCUCAGCCCUACAUCUUUAAACUCCUUCCCACCUUGCUCCUUUAGUGAAUGCCUCCUGAUUGUGCGAAAGCAAGAAUAUUCAGGCCUCAAUCUAGUAGCUUGGGUGUUAUGCUGACAAUGUCUCUGGAGAGCGGAAGAGAAGCGAGGACAGAUUUCCAAUAGCUCAGACGCUGCUCUGUAAGAAAAGCUGCUACACAGCAAGAGAGAUAAAUAAAGAGGGAAAGGAACACGCCGGAGAACUUCUCCCAAGGUCACAUCAGGAUGCCGAACGCCACCCAUCUGCAGGGGGAGGUUUAGACGCCCUGUUUAACUACGUCCAUCCAUUUGCUUGCUGGCAGCCACAGUCCUCAUUAAACCAAACUGGUUCUGAGCAUGAAAGGAGGACGUAGGGAAGAUGGUGCUAGCUAAUAAAUGCAAAGGGAAAGGCAACAGAGGCGGUCCCGGACGGGUGCUCUUUGCAGGAAAACGCAGCCGCGCAACGGGCAGAGCCUGUGCGGAGCCAGCGCGAGGCUCAGCGACACGGCGCAUCCCCAGCGGAGCCUCCAAGCAAGGCUCGUGGCUCCUGAAGAUGAAAUUCUGCGCCGUUCAGGCACGAGCAGCACCGGGAUGCCAGCAGGAACUGGAGCUUUUACGACUCUGCUGCCGCGCAGGGUCACCCGCCCGUCCCAGUUCCUCACUGCUUCGAAAUAAAGGCUGGCGACACGUGGCAGAUCACCGAGGACAGAGCGUGCCAUGAAGGAAAAGCCCUGCCCCAAAUAUUAUACCAGUUACUGCUGCGUGCCCUCCUAACAAGAGUGCUUCUCGCCCGUCUCAGCGGUCUGAAAGACACGCUGGGCAGAAUUUCAAGCUAUGACAAAGUGAUCUUAUCACUUCUGCGCCGCGCUCGCUACACAAGCCCCUGAUUCAGCAGCAUGUAAAAAAAAAAUCUUCAUUUGCAUGAAAAGCACUCGCUGAUCACAAAGUCUUCUGUUCAGCACUCCCCUUCCCAUCGGCGGCAGCAAGAUGCGAGAGCACUGCUGUCAUUCUGCUGGCGACCGAGGUGGAAUAUUCUGCGUGUGCUCCCCACAUUUUAACGCGAUCUUUCCCUAAAAUUUUAAUAGUGUUUCGGAGUAACACAAAAGCUGCACACAUCCAGUGCCAAGGCCCUCGUGUGCGAUGCUUUCACUGGCACUUUUAAUAACCGUGCCGCACAAAGGACGUUUCAUAUCAACGCGCAGCCACCACAAACACCUCCAAAAUGUCUCAGACAAGUCCAGUCUUUUCCAGUCUGCGUUUACAGCGCUGGGUGCCACGACCCAGAGCUUAAAGAGGAUGUACUGCAAUCGAGAGGGAGGUGUAGUCAUGCGGAGAACAACGUUCUGAUUGCAGUGAGAUUAACCUCUGUCGUGGGAAACCCAAUAAAACACGUAUUUUGUUAUCUUUCAUGACAAAGAGGCUGUUAAAGCUUAACGACGUUAGCAAAGUUUUUCCUUUGGACUAACCCAUGAGCCUGUAGUACGAAGGUAAAGCACGCCGGCAGAUGCAAUUACUCGGUUCUCUCCUGAUUCGGAGGGAGAAAGUCCACGGUUUCAGCAGCUGAAGACUUCAUGCAACAGUCCCGUGCCCUUUCCCGAUCACAGGUGGGUCACUGAGGCCAGUCCCAGCCUCCAGGCAGUAAACACCAGCUCUCACCUCCAGCUAUUUGCCGGAGUUCGUCGCGUCCCACGCACACACCCCGAAAUCACACGGGACCCUGAGCUAAUUCAACAUAAAUACCUUCCACCCAGGCGGCGACGCGGUCCCCGUUUGGAAACAUCUCCUUUCACGUCAAUCCAGCGCCGACGAGUUCGGAUCCGAUCCCAAAGAGGUGCCGGGGCUGCCGCUGCUGCCUCCCGUGCGUCGCCGAGCAUCUCGGCCGGCGCGUGGCCGCGAAGGGACGGCCCUACGACGGCUGCUGCUUGGAACCGGGCCGCCCGGCAUCUCGUGUACGCUGCAUUUUUGAGCACGCUGCUCUAAGCUGCUUUGCUAGCAAUUUCUGGCCCGCGCGGCGUGCAAGAGCACAGCCCCGGCCUCACAAAGAGCAGACCCGUAAAUGACAUCUCGAGGAUUAAACUGAUUGAGAUGCAAUUUGCCUAGCAACCAUUCAUUAAGCAGAGUUCACAAACAGGCCAGCAAUCUAUUCCACCUCCUUAUCCGAGCAGUAAACAGAUAGCAGUCUCUGCUGUGUCCUCUCUCCGCCGGCUCAGACACAUUGUAAACAGAUUUUUCAGAAGUUUCGACUCCUACGGUAAACAGCGGAGAACAACCCUGCCCUCCGAGCGCCAGGGAUUCGGUUCCAGCCAGCGCCUCGCCAGCCUCAAGCAGCUCCAGAAGGAUGACAACGCAAAUCAGAAGGCGAAUGGUAAAACAUCUCCCCGGUAUUUUCUCACCUCGAGCACUAAGAGCCUAGCCCAGUCUUUCAAGAAAAACCUUCAUCACACGAGCAUUUGGCAUUGCUAUUCCGAUCGCUG